GGGCCGUUAGCUCAGUCGGUUAGAGCAUCGGCCUUUUAAGCCGGUGGUCCUGGGUUCGAGUCCCAGACGGCCCACCA
rnacentral:tRNA from 1 species